GGUGGAUUAACAGUGGGGAACAUUCAGAAAUCAAUCCCAGCGUCCUUUGGGAGAAACAUACCUCCCAUGGUUCGCAAGAUAGCAGUUCGCAGAUCAGCUCAGGUUCUUUACAACAACAAAGGUUACCACAGCAUGCCGACAUACCUGAACGUCCUGAAUAAUGCCAUCCUGCGCGCAAACCUGGCUGCAUCCAAGGGCAACCCUGCUGCCUAUGGCUUCACACUGACAAACCACCCAAUGAAUCGAACCAGUGCCAGCCUCUCUUUAGACUACUUG